rnacentral:rRNA from 1 species
UAAGGAAUAUUGGACAAUGGACGCAAGUCUGAUCCAGCCAUGCCGCGUGUGUGAAGAAGGCCUUCGGGUUGUAAAGCACUUUUGUCCGGAAAGAAAUCCUUGGCUCUAAUACAGUCGGGGGAUGACGGUACCGGAAGAAUAAGCACCGGCUAACUACGUGCCAGCAGCCGCGGUAAUACGUAGGGUGCAAGCGUUAAUCGGAAUUACUGGGCGUAAAGCGUGCGCAGGCGGUUUGCUAAGACCGAUGUGAAAUCCCCGGGCUCAACCUGGGAACUGCAUUGGUGACUGGCAGGCUAGAGUAUGGCAGAGGGGGGUAGAAUUCCACGUGUAGCAGUGAAAUGCGUAGAGAUGUGGAGGAAUACCGAUGGCGAAGGCAGCCCCCUGGGCCAAUACUGACGCUCAUGCACGAAAAGCGUGGGGAGCAAAACAGGAUUAGAUACCCUGGUAGUCCACGCCCUAAAACGAUGUCAACUAGUUGUUGGGGAUUCAUUUCCUUAGUAACGUAGCUAACGCGUGAAGUUGACCGCCUGGGGAGUACGGUCGCAAGAUUAAAACUUAAA